rnacentral:rRNA from 1 species
UGUUGUUCUAAUCCAGAUCGCCCCAUAUUAUUAAUGAUUGUCNUAUGAUCAGNUAGGGAUNCNCGCUGACUUAAGCAUAUCAAUACGCGGAGGAAANGAAUCCANCAGGGAUUGCUUCAGUAACGGCGAGUGAAGCGGCAAAAGCUCUAAUUUGACAUCUGGCUCUUUCAGGGUCGGAGUUGUAAGUUCUAGAAGAUGCUUNGAGUGCGGCUCUGGUUUAUGUUCUUAGAACUAUUACAUCAUAGAGGGUGAGAAUCCCGUAUGUGACCAGUCGCCGCGCCCGUGUAAAGCUCUUUCAACGAGUCGAGUUGUUUGGGAAUGCAGCUCAAAAUGGGAGGUAUAUUUAUUCUAAACAUAAAUAUUGCCCAGAGACCGAUAGCGCACAAGUAGAGUGAUCGAAAGAUGAAAAGCCCUUUGGAAAGAGAGUUAAACAGUACGUGAAAUUGUUGAAAGGGAAGCGCUUGCAUCCAGACUUGCACGCAGUUGAUCAUCCGGUGUUCUCACCGGGGCACUCUGCUGCGUUCAGGCCAGCAUCGGUUUUGGUGGUUGGAUAAAGUCCUUGGGAAUGUAGCUUCUUUCGGGGAGUGUUAUANCCUUGGGUCAAAGCAGCCUACCGGGACCGAGGACCGCUUUUCGGCUAGGAUGCUGGCGUAAUGGUUGUAAGCGGCC